AUGGAAGGCCCCGUCCCUGCCCCCUCCUCCUCCUCCGCCGCACCCGCCGUCGCUAGGGUUCCGGCCGCCGCGCCCUCCGCUGCCGCGGCCCCGCAGCCUCUCGCCGCGCAGCAGGCGCCUGCCGCCGCGGUUGCGGGAGCAGCGGCGGGGUGCCGCAGGCAGGUGUUCUCCGUGGAGCUCCGGGCCGGGGAGACCACCAUCGUGUCGUGGAAGAAGCUGCUGAAGGAGGCCGGGCACGCGGCGGCCCCACCGUUGCAGCCGCUGGCAGUGGUGCCCGCGGAGCCUGCAGUUGCCGCACAACCGGGCCCGCCUGCUGCGGCACUCCCUGCAGAAAAUGACCCAGAGGAUCCAGCGCAGCCAAAUCGGUUUAAUGCCGUUAUCGAGAAAAUCGAGCGCCUUUACAUGGGUAAACAUAGCAGCGAUGAAGAAGAUCUUGAUGAUGUACCGGACGACGAUCAAUAUGACACUGAUGAUUCUUUUAUUGAUGAUGCUGAAUUGGAUGAAUAUUUUGAAGUUGAUAAUUUGACGACUAAGCACACUGGUUUUUUUGUUAACAAAGGGACAUUGGAACAGAUUGAACCUGGUACAUCAGCAAAUGUCGCGCCAAAGAAAAGGAGAAGCAAAGACCAGUCAGUUGAUCGUAUUGAAAAUAGUCAGGGUGCUACAGGUGAUUAUUUGAAGUCUGGGAAAGCAAGCGGUCUGAAAAAAGUAGCUACUGGCAAUGGUGAAUAUUACCAUGAAGGCAGCAGAGGAGUGAAGACUAAACCCAGCACAACCGGAGUCCUAAAAAGGAGAUCGACUGAUUUUGCCACAGUGUACAGGGAUAAAGAUCCUUCAACACAACUUGAUUUUCAACAAAAACAGACUUACAAUGGGGAAAAUGAAGAUCCGACCAGCAAAAUAUAUCGCAAAGAUAUAGCUGGAACGAACGACUUCUCUAGCAUGGAUGUGUCUGGUGCUGCCUAUCCUACACAAGCAAUGCACCUGACCACUGGCAGGGAGAGUGCAGGUACCAAACCUAAAGGCACUAGGCUUGAGCGAGCCAUUCGGGAUCUCCAAAAGAUUGCUGCUAAUUACAAAUCGCCAGCUAUUGAUAUUAGUGAGGCUGACCCAAAUGUUCAGGCAUCAGCUCAAAGACGCUUGCCUCCAGAAGUAAAGCAAAAGCUUGCCAAGGUUGCAAGGCUAUCGACAAAUCAUGGAAAGGUACAAGAAAAUGAGUUGAUGGAUCGGCUCAUGGGCAUAGUUGGACACCUUGUUGUGCGUAGGACACUGAAGAGAAACAUGAAGGAAUUGGUAAAAUCAGGACUCUCUGCUAAACAAGAGAAGGCUGGUAGGCUGCAGCAAGUAAAAAUGGAGAUCAAUGAAAUGGUCAAAGCAAGUAUGGCUGCCAAGGCCAAGGUCAAUGAACAACAAGAUGGCUCAGCUGAUGAUUUUCAGACUGUCACUGAUGAAAGAAGAGAUUUGAAAGGAAAGUCUGCAAUGGAUAGUGCACUGGAGGACAGAAUAUGUGAUCUGUAUGAUCUGUAUGUUGAGGGUAUGGAUGAAGACAAGGGUCCUCAAAGCAGGAAACUAUAUGUUGAGCUUGCAGAAUUAUGGCCACAAGGUUACAUGGAUAAAUUUGGAAUCAAAGAUGCCAUAUCUAGAUCAAAGGAGCGAAAGGGAACAUUACACAACCAACAGAAGGUUCAGAAUGAGGAGAAACUGAAGCGGAAAAGGCUGGCUGCGGCAGCGAAACUGCCAGAUAGCUACCCUGUUGUAACACAAAGCACAGCGGCCGUGCAAGUCGCACAUCCAUCCAUGUCCAACCCCGUUACAACAUACCCUGUGACCGACUAUGGACAGAACCAGGUCCCGAAAAGUCUUGAAAGGGUUCGCGAAACUAGCUCAAGUGCAAUAGCUGACGAGAGCAGCAAAAAUGCUGGUGACAUGAAGAAGAAGAAAAGGAAGUCGGAUCCUGAUGUUGUCGAUACACAAGCCAACAUUGUUACCAUGCCCACCGUGCUUGGUCUCCCUUUCUAUGACCAACAACCAAGCUGA
rnacentral:rRNA from 1 species